rnacentral:rRNA from 1 species
GAUGAACGCUGCCAGACUGCUUAACACAUGCAAGUCAACUGUGGCGGACGGGUGAGUACCGCGUAAAGAACUUGCCUCACAGAUAGGGACAACAUUUGGAAACGAAUGCUAAUACCUGAUACUGUGAGAGAGCUUUGCGUCCCAUUAGCUAGUUGGAGAGGUAACGGCUCACCAAGGCGAUGAUGGGUAGCCGGCCUGAGAGGGUGAUCGGCCACAAGGGGACUGGGACACGAGCCUUACUCCUACGUGAGGCAGGAGGGGGGAACAGAUGACAACGUACCGAAGUCUGAGCCAGCAAUUCGGGUUGCACGGUGAAGUUGUCGGAAUGAAGAGGUUUAUCUGUAGGGAAGCGUUACCAGCAGAAGAAGCGACGGCUAACUACGUGCCAGCAGCCGCGGUAAUAC